rnacentral:rRNA from 1 species
GAUGAACGCUGGCGGCGUGCCUAAUACAUGCAAGUCGAGCGAACAGAUGAGGAGCUUGCUCCUCUGACGUUAGCGGCGGACGGGUGAGUAACACGUGGAUAACCUACCUAUAAGACUGGGAUAACUUCGGGAAACCGGAGCUAAUACCGGAUAACAUAUUGAACCGCAUGGUUCAAUAGUGAAAGAUGGUUUUGCUGUCACUUAUAGAUGGAUCCGCGCCGCAUUAGCUAGUUGGUAAGGUAACGGCUUACCAAGGCAACGAUGCGUAGCCGACCUGAGAGGGUGAUCGGCCACACUGGAACUGAGACACGGUCCAGACUCCUACGGGAGGCAGCAGUAGGGAAUCUUCCGCAAUGGGCGAAAGCCUGACGGAGCAACGCCGCGUGAGUGAUGAAGGUCUUCGGAUCGUAAAACUCUGUUAUUAGGGAAGAACAAAUGUGUAAGUAACUAUGCACGUCUUGACGGUACCUAAUCAGAAAGCCACGGCUAACUACGUG